rnacentral:rRNA from 1 species
UACGUAGGGGGCAAGCGUUGUCCGGAAUCAUUGGGCGUAAAGAGCGUGUAGGCGGCUCGGUAAGUCCGCUGUGAAAGUCCAGGGCUCAACCCUGGAAUGCCGGUGGAAACUGUCGAGCUAGAGUCCGGAAGAGGCGAGUGGAAUUCCUGGUGUAGCGGUGAAAUGCGCAGAUAUCAGGAAGAACACCCGUGGCUAAGGCGGCUCUCUAGUACGGUACUGACGCUGAGACGCGAAAGCGUGGGGAGCAAACAGG